AAGUCGUAACAAGGUUUCCGUAGGUGAACCUGCGGAAGGAUCAUUAACACGCUGCUUAGUAGGGUCUAUAUCUUAACAAAAUGUAGUCCCCUAUUAUUCUAUCCAGGAAAAAGAGAACUUGUUUUCAGCCCUCACUUUAACUCCCUGGGAGGUGAGGAUUAGCGUUUGAGUUUACUGGGACUAACCUGUUGUGGUCACUCGUUGAUCAUGAUGCGGCCCGAAACUAUGUGUCUACAGUACAGCUGGAGGCCGGACCAUUUUGGUCUGCGCUGAACGCCGCGAUCCAUAAGAUACAUAAGGACUCAGACAGUAUUACAAAACCCUAUACACAAGCCCGUACUAAUAAACUUUUAUUGAUUUCAACGUCAAUAGAAGCACAAACCAAAAACAAAAUACAACUCUUAGCAACGGAUAUCUCGGUUGAC
rnacentral:misc_RNA from 1 species